UUUUUUGAGGUGUAAGAACACGUCGGUCUUUCGAUCCGGAGUUGAAGAAUUUUCUUCCAAAUUUU
rnacentral:tRNA from 1 species